UAGCCGUAAACGAUACUCGCUAGGUGUCGGCCACGGUGCGACCGUUGUCGGUGCCGUAGGGAAGCCGUGAAGCGAGCCACCUGGGAAGUACGGCCGCAAGGCUGAAACUUAAAGGAAUUGACGGGGGAGCACAACAACGGGUGGAGCUUGCGGUUUAAUUGGAUUCAACGCCGGAAAUCUUACCGGGACCGACAGCAACAUGAAGGCCAAGCUGAAGACUUUGCCGGAUUAGCUGAGAGGAGGUGCAUGGCGUAGUCGUGU
rnacentral:rRNA from 1 species